GGACUACCGGGGUAUCUAAUCCCGUUCGCUCCCCCAGCUUUCGCGCAUCAGCGUCAAGUAUGCCCCAGGAGGCCGCCUUCGCCACUGGUGUUCCUACCGAUCUCUACGCAUUUCACCGCUACACCGGUAAUUCCACCUCCCCCUAGCACCUUCAAGAUCAACAGUAUCCACCGACCCUCCGGAGUUGAGCUCCGGGCUUUCACAGCGGACUUGAGGACCCACCUACGCGCGCUUUACGCCCAGUAACUUCGGACAACGCUCGCCCCCUCCGUAUUACCGCGGCUGCUGGCAC
rnacentral:rRNA from 1 species